UACGUAGGGUGCAAGCGUUUGUCCGGAAUUAUUGGGCGUAAAGAGCUCGUAGGCGGUCUGUCGCGUCUGCUGUGAAAAUCAGGGCUCAACCCUGGACCUGCAGUGGGUACGGGCAGACUAGAGUGCGGUAGGGGAGAUCGGAAUUCCUGGUGUAGCGGUGAAAUGCGUAGAUAUUCGGAAGAACACCGGUGGCGAAAGCGACCUUCUGGGCCAUUACUGACGCUGAGGUACGAAAGCUUGGGGAGCGAACGGG
rnacentral:rRNA from 1 species